ACUGCGUUCAAAGCGUGAAUAUGACUUUUUCACAAAAACUUGGGGUCAAGAUUUUUAUGAAAGAACAGAAGUUCCACCUUCACCAUAUCUGAUUCAUAUUUCCAGAGAACAUUUCCAGAAGUAUAGACAUAGAAUAUCAAAGAGAUAUAAGAAGCAUGUUCAUAAAACCAAUCAGUUCUUUCAAGAAUCUCCAGGUGGGGAAACCUUCUUACAGCAGCUUGAAAAGAACAGAGCUGAGUUACAACAAAUACCUAAA